GGUUCUGACCUAUUAAAGGGACCUAUUACAGACAUGAAGGAAUAGAGUGCGCUGCCUGGGUUUGAAAGAGCAUUUAUGGAACGCAUUUAUGUGUUAGAGAGGACUCUAAGUAUUUGCAUUUAUGAUGUAUUUCAUUGAUACGUAGUUAUAAUAGAUACCUGUUAUGUCAUUUGAGACUCCCAACAACACUGGGAGGUAAGUAUUAUUUCUAGUCCUUUAUAAAUGGGGGCAGUUUAGGGAACUUGGUCCUCUCAAAUGUUGAUAGUCUGGGGCUUGAAUUCAGUCUUUCUCCAAAACCAACACACCUUAGCUACUCCAUUAUUACUGCUUCUGCUGGCGAGGCACUGGAAGAUUGGAGCAGAAAGCUAAGAAAGGAUUUUUAAAACUCUUGGAAGUUAUGAAUACCUGUGUCCCUGUGUUCAACAAGUCGGCAUACACUUAUCAAAGCACCUACUCUGAGCCAGCCACCUUGCAGGAUCCCUAUUGUGAUACAUUUAAGACUACUGAGGGUAUUUCGUCCAGAAAGGCCAUAGCUACCGUUGUGAGGAAUUCUAACGGCCAAUGAAGCAGACCUUUUGCUGCUGUUGCUGCUGUUCCUGCCACUGGGUCCUCAAGGUGCCUGACUGACCUGCUCUGCUUCUCCUAUCCCUACGCAGAAAACAUGGCCACCAACAGCUCCUGAGUCCACCUGGAGAGAGACUGAUUCUCUGUCAUAAGCAUCUGGCUGGGAAGGGACUGUGACUGGCUGAUCUGGUGUCAUGUGCACCCUGCUGUUAAUCAACCAUGACUGGUAAGGAGGAAAAAGUGUAUGACCCUGGCUGUGCAGAGCCACCUGAGGAAGCUUGUGAUGGGGAGAAAGGGCCACACAGAGCUAUCCAUUACCUCCCUCCAG